GAUGAACGCUGGCGGCGUGCCUAAUACAUGCAAGUCGAGCGAACAGACGAGGAGCUUGCUCCUCUCACGUUAGCGGCGGACGUGUGAGUAACACGUGGAUCACCUACCUAUAAGACUGGGAUAACUUCGGGAAACCGGAGCUAAUACCGGAGAAUAUCUUGAACCGUAUGGUUCAAUAGUGAAAUACGGUUUUUCUGUCACUUAUAGAUGGCUCCGCGCCGCAUUAUCUCGUUGGUAAGGUAACGGGUUACCAAGGCAACGAUGCGUAGCCGAACUGAGAGGGUGAUCGGCCGCACUGAAACUGAGACACGCGCCAGACUACUACGAGAGGAACCAGAAGGGAAUCUUACGCAGUGGGGGGAAGCCUGACAGAACAAAGCCGCGUGAGAGAUGAAGAUCUUCGGAUCGUAAAGCGAUGUUAAUAGGGAUAAACAACUGUGGAAGUAACUAUGGACGUCUUGACGGUACCUAAUCAGAAAGCAACGGCUAACUACGUG
rnacentral:rRNA from 1 species